CACUUAUGAGAAAGUUCUCCCCACUGUGCCAAGCUGCCUGCUCAUCUCUUUAUACAUACUUUCUAAAACUACUUACAAGAAGAAAAAGAUGUGCGGUUCACUUGCAAAGGCUUUUGGAAAAUGCAGGAUUCUCAUCUGCUGGCUGGAAAUGAGAAAACCUUGAACCGUGCUACACAAAGCAGUUACUAUAAGUUCCCUAACCCUGAGUCUAGCAGACAUGGAAAAUUUUGUUCUUGAGCAUUUGUGAGCACACAGAUCAGGGAAACGGGAAUCCAAACAGCAAUCCUGAGGUGUCUUCAGGAUGAAUAUGAUAUUCAGAGUCACGGAGUGCUUCACUUCCUCCUCCGGUCUCACCUCCCUCGGCUCCAUGCUUUCCCCACAGCUGGUGCUGGAAACCGCGAAUGGCUCGCUAGCGCGGGCGGGGGCGGCCCAGGGGCCAGAGCCGGAGGCGGCGGAGAUGAGGCGAGGCUAGGCAGCAAGCGCCAGUGCAGAGCUCAGCCUCGAACACAGUUUUCCUCCUGGACCUGUCAAGUCAGACCUCACAUGUACACCGGGAGAAUCUACCAAAGGCUACCUAACCAGCCGCGGCCUCUGAGCGCUGCGCUGAUGUGCCAGGAGGGGAAGCAGGUCAGAAACAGACGGAGGGAGAAGAAAAUGGAGCGCGAGUGACAAUCAGACUAGGAUGAGAAUGAAUGGGAGCAGAUGAUGCGGCCCCCUCGCCCGGCGCCCCCUCCCCCACGUGCUCAUACCCCCAGCGACUACUCCCGGGGAGGCCUGUGAAGCCGCCGCAGUAAAAGGAGACGGAGGAAUAUAUAUCCUCAAGUUGGAAAGGACUCUGACCCGG